AUUGAACGCUGGCGGCAGGCCUAACACAUGCAAGUCGAACGAGUGGCGGAAGGGUGAGUAAUGUCUGGGAAAGUGCCAGAUGGAGGGGGAUAACUACAGGAAACGGUAGCUAAUACCGCAUAACAUCAGAUCAGCACAGAUGGGAUUAGCUAGUUGGUGGGUUAACGGCUCAACAAGGCGAAGAGCCCUAGCUGGGCUGAGAAGAUGACCAGCACAACUGGAACUGAGACACUGUCCAGACUCCUCCGGUAUGCAGCAGUGGUGAAUAUUGCACAAUCGGCGCAAGCCUUAUGCAGCCAGGCCGAGUUUAUGAAGAAGGCCUUCGGGUUGUAAAGUACUUUCAGCGGGGAGGCGUUACCCGCAGAAGAAGCACCGGCUAACUCCGUGCCAGCAGCCGCGGUAAUAC
rnacentral:rRNA from 1 species